CCUACGGGGGGCAGCAGUGGGGAAUAUUGGACAAUGGGCGAAAGCCUGAUCCAGCCAUGCCGCGUGUGUGAAGAAGGCCUUCGGGUUGUAAAGCACUUUCAGUGGGGAAGAAAGCCUUGGGGCUAAUACCCUCGAGGAAGGACAUCACCCACAGAAGAAGCACCGGCUAACUCCGUGCCAGCAGCCGCGGUAAUACGGAGGGUGCGAGCGUUAAUCGGAAUUACUGGGCGUGAAGCGCGCGUAGGCGGUCUGAUAAGCCGGUUGUGAAAGCCCCGGGCUCAACCUGGGAACGGCAUCCGGAACUGUCAGGCUAGAGUGCAGGAGAGGAAGGUAGAAUUCCCGGUGUAGCGGUGAAAUGCGUAGAGAUCGGGAGGAAUACCAGUGGCGAAGGCGGCCUUCUGGACUGACACUGACGCUGAGGUGCGAAAGCGUGGGUAGCAAACAGGAUUAGAUACCCGAGUAGUC
rnacentral:rRNA from 1 species